rnacentral:misc_RNA from 1 species
UCUCCGUUGGUGAACCAGCGGAGGGAUCAUUACAAGAGUGCCCUAGGCUCUCCAACCCACUGUGAACAUACCUACGUUCCCCCGGCGGGCCAAGCGGCCGGCGUCCUCGCGGCGCCGGGCGUCCGCCGGGGACAACCAAACCCUGAUUUACUUACGUGUAUCUCUGAGGGGCGAAAGCCCGUAAAACAAAAUGAAUCAAAACUUUCAACAACGGAUCUCUUGGCUCUG